rnacentral:lncRNA from 1 species
GGCAUCUGUUUGGUCUCUACUGGCCGUAAGGGAAGCCCUUUGAGACGAGCUCAGAGGUGGAGGUUUCUAGUCUGGCAGCCAGCUUUGCUCAAGUGAACCAUACCCUAAGUGAAGGGGCAGCCUUGGUGGUUCUGUCACUCAUUUCCAUUAAAACAUUUAUUCUCUAUCCCCCACAGUGUGGUGGCUCCUGUACUCCCCACCCCAGCAAAAACCAUGACCGGGAUGAAGGAGUGAAGACCAAGGAUGCUACUCCUCUGCAAUGAACAAUUUUGUUAUGUGAAGGAGAGCUCCAAAGGAGGAAGCUGAGCUGGAGGAUUUACCUGACAAAGGCAGUGGGACUUCAGCGUAAGGACCUAGUGCAGCCCAAGUGAAGGUGAGAGGAGGAAUGGCGGUGUUGCCAUGGAUAUGGGAUUUUUUUUCUCAUGCCCUGCCUUUGCUCUAAGGCCAAACAUUCUUUACACGG